rnacentral:rRNA from 1 species
AGUCGAGGGGCAGCGGGGGCGAAGCUUGCUUCGCCUGCCGGCGACCGGCGCACGGGUGAGUAACACGUAUGCGACCUGCCCCCCGCAGGGGGAUAACCGGGAGAAAUCCCGACUAAUACCGCGUAACGCCGCUGGGCUGCAUGGCCCGGCGGCCAAAGGAAGCGAUUCCGGCGGGGGAUGGGCAUGCGGCGCAUUAGCUAGUCGGCGGGGUAACGGCCCACCGAGGCGACGAUGCGUAGGGGUUCUGAGAGGAAGGUCCCCCACACUGGUACUGAGACACGGACCAGACUCCUACGGGAGGCAGCAGUGAGGAAUAUUGGUCAAUGGGCGUAAGCCUGAACCAGCCAAGUCGCGUGAGGGAAGACGGUCCUACGGAUUGUAAACCUCUUUUGCCGGGGAGCAACGGGGUCCUUGCGAGGGCCCUAUGAGAGUACCCGGAGAAAAAGCAUCGGCUAACUCCGUGCCAGCAGCCGCGGUAAUACGGAGGAUGCGAGCGUUAUCCGGAUUUAUUGGGUUUAAAGGGUGCGUAGGCGGGCUGUUAAGUCAGCGGUCAAAUGUCGAGGCUCAACCCCGGCCUGCCGUUGAAACUGGCGGCCUCGAGUGGGCGAGAAGUAUGCGGAAUGCGUGGUGUAGCGGUGAAAUGCAUAGAUAUCACGCAGAACUCCGAUUGCGAAGGCAGCAUACCGGCGCCCUACUGACGCUGAGGCACGAAAGCGUGGGUAUCGAACAGGAUUAGAUACCCUGGUAGUCCACGCAGUAAACGAUGAAUGCUAGCUGUCCGGGACUUCGGUUCUGGGUGGCACAGCGAAAGCGUUAAGCAUUCCACCUGGGGAGUACGCCGGCAACGGUGAAACUCAAAGGAAUU